ACAGGUGGUGCAUGGUGUCGUCAGCUCGUGUCGUGAGAUGUUGGUUAAGUCCCGCAACGAGCGCAACCCCUAUUGUUAGUUGCCAUCAUUCAGUUGGGCACUCUAGCGAGACUGCCGGUAAUAAACCGGAGGAAGGUGGGGAUGACGUCAAAUCAUCAUGCCCCUUAUGACCUGGGCUACACACGUGCUACAAUGGUUGGUACAACGAGUUGCGAGUCGGUGACGGCGAGCUAAUCUCUUAAAGCCAAUCUCAGUUCGGAUUGUAGGCUGCAACUCGCCUACAUGAAGUCGGAAUCGCUAGUAAUCGCGGAUCAGCACGCCGCGGUGAAUACGUUCCCGGGCCUU
rnacentral:rRNA from 1 species